ACCUUUGUGGUGUAGUGGUCAGCACACUCAAUGCGUAUUCGAGAGGUCCGUGGUUCGAGUCCCGGCGAGGGCC
rfam:Stegodyphus mimosarum contig43393, whole genome shotgun sequence.